rnacentral:rRNA from 1 species
ACAAAGGGCAGCAAGUUCGCGAGGACAAGCAAAUCCCAUAAACCGUGGCUCAGUUCAGAUCGUAGGCUGCAACUCGCCUACGUGAAGGAGGAAUCGCUAGUAAUCGCAGGUCAGCAUACUGCGGUGAAUACGUUCCCGGGCCUUGUACACACCGCCCGUCACACCAUGGAAGUUGGCCAUGCCCGAAGUCGUUACUUUAACCCUUGUGGAGAAGGACGCCGAAGGUGGGGCUGAUGACUGGGGUGAAGUCGUAACAAGGUAGCCGUACCGGAAGGUGCGGCUGGAUCACCUCCUAAC